rnacentral:lncRNA from 1 species
CCAACCCCGAGGGCUGUCCCCACUGCGCGACGUUCUCGGUCAAAACCCGAGAGCGAAGGCUUCGCGUUGCAGUAGCUGGGAAGUCGGACCCAUGCCUCUCUGCUCAACCCAGAGAGGAACCGAUGGAUUGUCCACAGGCCUCCAGCUCCUGGGGUGAGAUGAUGGAGAAGGUGUCACCCGUCCUUCCCCCGCUGUUUGAAAAUCCGUUAGCGGGAGAGGAAGAUGACGAUGACGAAGUGUUGUCGACCAUCCUCGAGGACGAGGAUGACGACGAUGAAGAUGCUAUUCUUCCCCCCAUGCCUCUCUGCUCAACCCAGAGAGGAACCGAUGGAUUGUCCACAGGCCUCCAGCUCCUGGGGUGAGAUGAUGGAGAAGGUGUCACCCGUCCUUCCCCCGCUGUUUGAAAAUCCGUUAGCGGGAGAGGAAGAUGACGAUGACGAAGUGUUGUCGACCAUCCUCGAGGACGAGGAUGACGACGAUGAAGAUGCUAUUCUUCCCCCGAUGCAGUCGCGUCCGCCGAGUGCACAGGAUGAGAGCUCACCCUCCCCUGUGCAGACGGAUACAGAUCUUCUCGAGGUCUGUCGCAGGGCCGCGGCUAGACUGUCGAUCGACUGGCCAUCCCAACCAGCAGAUAAAGGAGCUGAAAGAGACUUGUAUGACGGAAAGAGACUUCCGUCACGUCUCCCUCCAGCGAGGCAGUUUAUUCCAGCCGUCCCGGCUUGUGUGGCUGAAAUGAAGAGGUUUUGGGAUAAGCCUUUUUCCCACCGAGUACCUGUUAAGGGCUUCUCGAGGCUAGAUGUCCAGGGAAUGGAGGAUCUGGGGAUGGCAGAUCCUCCCCCUGUAGAAUCAUCUGUGGCGAAUCAUUUGAAUCCGAGCCGCAGAGCAGCGCUCUCUUCAACUGGGGCCUCUUUGCCAGGGAAAACAGAGCGCUUCGCCGCCUCCGUUUUUCAAAAGAUUUAUAAAUCUUCUGCACUGGCCGUACGUGCUUUGAACGCGACGUCCCUCCUUACAGCCUAUCAAGCGGAGUUAUUAGAGGAGAUGGGGCGUCA